CCGCUCGACGAUGAUGACAUGGUCUCCUACAUCCUCGCGGGACUAGACUAUGACUACAUCUUGUUUGUCUCGUCCAUCUGCGUUGCGAGAACCGAACCAAUCAAGGUAGUAGAACUCUACUCUCGCCUGAUCGGUUUUGAAA
rnacentral:snoRNA from 1 species